rnacentral:tRNA from 1 species
UUGGAUAUAGCUCAGGGGCACAGCGCCUGCCUGGCAAGCGUGAGGCCCUGAGUUUGAUUCCCAGUACCAAAA